rnacentral:rRNA from 1 species
CAAUAGCGUAUAUUAAUGUUGUUGCAGUUAAAAAGCUCGUAGUUGGAUUUCUGAUGGGAGCCCUGGUCACUCUAACGAGUGUACUGAUGUGGCGUCUUGUCGUUUCAUGGGGAUGCUUGCUGGUAUUAAGUUAUCGGCUUGUGGAUCCAUGUCGUUUACUGUGAAAAAAUUAGAGUGUUCAAAGCAGGCCAUCGCUGUGAAUACAUUAGCAUGGAAUAAUAAGAUAGGACUGUGGUGCUAUUUUGUUGGUUUGCGUACUACGGUAAUGAUUAAUAGGGAUAGUUGGGGGUAUUCAUAUUCAAUUGUCAGAGGUGAAAUUCUUGGAUUUAUGGAAGAUGAACUACUGCGAAAGCAUUUACCAAGGAUGUUUUCAUUAA